rnacentral:rRNA from 1 species
CAGCAGCCGCGGUAAUACGAAAGGGGCUAGCGUUGUUCGGAAUUACUGGGCGUAAAGCGCACGUAGGCGGAUAUUUAAGUCAGGGGUGAAAUCCCAGAGCUCAACUCUGGAACUGCCUUUGAUACUGGGUAUCUUGAGUAUGGAAGAGGUGAGUGGAAUUCCGAGUGUAGAGGUGAAAUUCGUAGAUAUUCGGAGGAACACCAGUGGCGAAGGCGGCUCACUGGUCCAUUACUGACGCUGAGGUGCGAAAGCGUGGGGAGCAAACAGGAUUAGAUACCCCGGUAGUCCCUGUCUCUUAUAA